UACAGAGGCCUCAAGCGUUGUUCGGAUUCAUUGGGCGUAAAGGGUGUGUAGGUGGCGCGCUAAGUCGGGUGUGAAAUUUCGGAGCUUAACUCCGAAACUGCAUUCGAUACUGGCGUGCUUGAGGACUGGAGAGGAGACUGGAAUUUACGGUGUAGCAGUGAAAUGCGUAGAUAUCGUAAGGAAGACCAGUGGCGAAGGCGGGUCUCUGGACAGUUCCUGACACUGAGACACGAAGGCCAGGGGAGCAAACGGG
rnacentral:rRNA from 1 species